CGUGAAAAAAUUAGAGUGUUCAAAGCAGGCAGAUCCAAUUUUCUGCCACCGAAUACAUUAGCAUGGGAUAAUGGAAUAGGACCCUGUCCUCCUAUUUUCAGUUGGUUUUGGCAGCGCGAGGACUAGGGUAAUGAUUAAUAGGGAUAGUUGGGGGCAUUAAUAUUUAAUUGUCAGAGGUGAAAUUCUUGGAUUUAUGAAAGAUUAACUUCUGCGAAAGCAUCUGCCAAGGAUGUUUUCAUUAAUCAAGAACGAAAGUUAGGGGAUCGAAGACGAUCAGAUACCGUCGUAGUCUUAACCAUAAACGAUGCCGACCAGCGAUUAGGAGACGUUGAAUACAAAACACCACCAUCGGCGCGGUCGUCCCUGGCUCGUCGUCUCACGACGGCGGGCGGGGGCGGUUUAGCCCGAUGGCACCGGUGAAUGACUCC
rnacentral:rRNA from 1 species